CCUGGUUGAUCCUGCCAGUAGUCAUAUGCUUGUCUCAAAGAUUAAGCCAUGCAUGUCUAAGUACAAGCCUCACUAAGGUGAAACCGCGAAUGGCUCAUUAUAUCACACCUAAUCUACUGGAUAGUUAACAGUUACUUGGAUAACUGCGGUAAUUCUGGAGCUAAUACAUGCACAAAGCCCCGAACUUACGUGAGGGGCGCUUUUAUUAGAUCAAAACCAAUCGGCUUCGGCUGAACUCUUGGUGACUCUGAAUAACUUUGGGCUGAUCGCAUAGCCUAGCGCUGGCGACAUAUCCUCCGAAGGUGUGCCCUAUCAACUGUCGACUGUGGCAUAGACGCCCACAGUGGUUUUGACGGGUAACGGGGAAUCAGGGUUCGAUUCCGGAGAGGGAGCCUUAAAAACGGCUACCACAUCUAAGGAAGGCAGCAGGCACGCAAAUUACCCAAUGACCGCAGGUCGAGGUAGUGACGAAAAAUAACGAUACAGGACUCAUCUGAGGCCCUGUAAUCGGAAUGAGUACACUUUAAAACCGUCCCCGAGGAUCUAUUGGAGGGCAAGUCUGGUGCCAGCAGCCGCGGUAAUUCCAGCUCCAAUAGCGUAUAUUAAAGUUGUUGUGGUUAAAAAGCUCGUAGUUGGAUCUCGGCGGUCUGAGGGCGGUUCGCUUCAGAGCGCUACUGCCCUAUAGACCGUAGUUUUGCCAGAGGUCUCAGGGUGCUCUUAACCGAGUGUCUUGCGAUGCUGGCAGGUUUACUUUGAAAAAAUUAGAGUGCUCAAAGCAGGCUUUUACGCCUGAAUAUUCGUGCAUGGAAUAAUAGAAUAGGAAGUCGUUUCUAUUUUGUUGGUUUUCGGAAAUCGACUUAAUGAUUAAUAGGGACAGUCGGGGGCAUUUGUAUUCAAACGACAGAGGUGAAAUUCUUGGACCGUUUGAAGACAAACUACUGCGAAAGCAUUUGCCAAGAAUGUUUUCAUUAAUCAAGAACGAAAGUUAAAGGUUCGAAGGCGAUUAGAUACCGCCCUAGUUUUAACCAUAAACGAUGCCAGCUAGCGAUCUGCGGACGUUUUUUUUGUAGACUCCGCAGGAAGCUUCCGGGAAACCAAAGCAUUUGGGUUCCAGGGGAAGUAUGGUUGCAAAGCUGAAACUUAAAGGAAUUGACGGAAGGGCACCACCAGGAGUGGAGCCUGUGGCUUAAUUUGACUCAACACGGGAAAUCUCACCAGGCCCGGACACUGGAAGGAUU
rnacentral:rRNA from 1 species